UUUUUUACUAGAAAUCACAUAUUACUUAAUAAAAACUAAUGUUUAUUGAGACUUCAUUCUAGGCACUUCCAGGCAUUAUCACUUCUGGUCCUUACACUCAUUUAGUGAAGUAAGUAUAGCCAAAACCUCCAUUUAACAGUGGUAUUUACUUCAACAGAAGAGAAAACAGGCUUCCAGAUGUUAAAGACUUUGCCCAACUACACUGAGCUAUCAAGCUUGUAAGUGGCAGACCCAGAGGUUUGAAUGAAUUAGUUCUCAGAAGUGAUUGAGGAGGAUGAACAUCUGUCACUCUCUAAGUGAUCUGUGGGCCAUAGAUCAAAAUUUGACAUUUGUUAGGAACCUUAUUUCUUUCAAAAAAUCCACACUAUCCUUACUUUCAAAUAUGCCCAUGGUUAAUUCAACCUAAAUUAGUGUUUUAAACCAUUGACCAGAUUCAUAACUUACCCCACGCUUUUCCCUAAUCUUGAUGUUAACUGAUAUUUCAGAAAGAUUCAUCCUAUUUGUUUUGUGACUUCGCAUUCUUUUGUCAGACUUCAUAGGCACACAGGUUCCAGGUUUAACAGAAAGUCUGGAGGCAUUCUCAUAAGCUUCCUGGGAGAGCUUCUAGUAUGGUGUAAGAAAAAUGACAAUUGUCAUAAACUGAAGAACACAACCUCCUUGAAAAGAGGCCUUGUUAUUCACCUCCAGCAAAUUGUUUCCAGAGCAGGACCUUGGAGAGUCAAGACUGCAGCUCAUUCAAGAUUACAGACGGGUUAAGUGACUUGGCCAAAGUCACUGCAUGAGUUAGUGGCCAAGUCAGAACCGGAAGCCAGUUCUCCUGACCCUGGACCAGCGCCGCCUCUGUCCACGUGCUUUUCCGAAACAGCUGGAUUCUCACCAUUGACCAAUCACUCAAACUUUUACAGUUUUGUAGAAUAAUGACCUGGGGACCUUGUUAAAAUGUGGGUUCUGAUCUAGUAGGUCUGCAGAGGGACCUGAGGUUCUGCAUUUCUAGCAAAUUCCCUGAUGAAAGCUAUGGAUCCAGACAGCUCUUUGAGUAAAUAGAAAGCAGCUAGAGAAUGGCUCAGAGAAAAAGCAAAUGACCUAGAUAAAGAGAGGGCUUAUUGCAUUUUAAAUGCCAGUGAGUGAAAAGGGUGUUUCUGAUUGUUAUGAGAGUCUUAAAAUAAAGGUCUUGUCCCAGACAUGAGACCAACUCAACAGGCCAAGUGAGGGCCCUGGGCCGUGUUGGCAAGUGAUGUCCCAGACACACCCAACGACAGCACAAUCAGCCCCUUCAUUGAGCGGAAGCAGCAGCAGCAAGCCAGCCAGAAUGAAAGCCUCUCUGUUUAACAUUCCAGAGGCAUUCCCAGUGUCCCCCAGAGUCCUCAUUAUUCACCUGGAGAAUUACCAAGGGGUUUUCAGAUGGGACAAGUGCCUCUUUACACAGCAAUUCACUAACCCUUAUGACAGUUGGACGACAAAAAAGCUGCACUUGAUGAAGAAAGAAGUGGAAAUGGAGGCUGGGCACAGAAACAGAAGGCCUUGGGCUUGUGGGAUUUCUAAAUCACAGGCAUCGCUUGCCACCUCACACAUGGGGGCAAAGGAUGUCAGCAUUGUUGGCAGUUUGGGGGACAGAGCUUUAGGACUGCAAUACGGUUUUCAGGCCACGAGGAAUGGGCGAGAGAGGACUGCUUGGUGUGGGAGGAGUGAAGGGGCCAGGGCCAGGCUGGGCCAAGCAUGAGAUCAGGGAAGAAGGGUUGUGCCCUGGCUGUUUCUUUAGAUUUGGGAUUAGGUGUAAUGUGUGCUGGCAUUCGAGCUACCACCGGAAAGGACCUUUGAGGUUGCAUAAUCCUGACAUUUUCAAGUCACGUUCUCCGGAGCUCUGAAGAUUCCAUGUGAAGAUUUUUUCUGGGACUGUUGUUUGCUGUGAGGUGUAAUAUCGCCCUCACCCCUCACCCCCGCCCCCCAGGUGUGGUGGCACAGUGUUAGGUCAAUACGACUCAAAAUGCCAGGCUAGAUUCUUUUUCCUCAGAGCGGACCCUUUAUUCUGCUCCAUUUCUUAAGUUCCAACCUCACCAAAACCCUAACGGGGCCCAGAUUUACAAUAUCCCAUUUACACCAUGGGCUGGGAAGUGGACUGGCCUAAGGCAUGGUGGACAAGGGUACCUGUGUGGUGAGAUACGUGUAAGCUUCAGCCAGCCCCGCAGUAGCUUCCCAUCUAACUGGAAUUCCCACCACAGUGUAGGCUAGCAGUUUUCAAAUGAACUCAGGUGCCAGUGCACCUGUGGAACACCGUGAACUAAUUCCAUCAUACAAAUAAGAAGCAAUGUUACCAGCGGGAAAGCUAGCUGUAUUAUAAGCACACACACACUGCAUUCAUUGUUAAGAUUAGUCACACAUAUUCUGGCUCUUCCAGGUACACAAUAAACUUGUACUUCGCCAUUGCUUGUCAUAAGUGUGGCCACAUAACAGGGUUUAGUUAAAGACACGUGCGUGGAAAGCUUUUAAAAUCAGCAUAUGAUUCCCCCCCU